UGGGGAAUAUUGCACAAUGGGCGAAAGCCUGAUGCAGCGACGCCGCGUGAGGGAUGACGGCCUUCGGGUUGUAAACCUCUUUCAGUAGGGACGAAGCGCAAGUGACGGUACCUGCAGAAGAAGCACCGGCUAACUACGGGCCAGCAGCCGCGGUAAUACGUAGGGUGCGAGCGUUGUCCGGAAUUACUGGGCGUAAAGAGCUCGUAGGCGGUUUGUCACGUCGUCUGUGAAAUCCUAGGGCUUAACCCUGGACGUGCAGGCGAUACGGGCUGACUUGAGUACUACAGGGGAGACUGGAAUUUCUGGUGUAGCGGUGGAAUGCACAGAUAUCAGGAAGAACACCGAUGGCGAAGGCAGGUCUCUGGGUAGUAACUGACGCUGAGGAGCGAAAGCAUGGGUAGCGAACAGG
rnacentral:rRNA from 1 species